UCAGCAGGUCACCUUAUCGUCGUGUGCUGAUUUAGUUUCAGUACAAGGAGGAAAGUCCGGACACCAUAGUGCAGCAUAGUGGGUAACACCCAUCCGUCGAGAGAUGCGGACAAGUGCAACAGAAAGCAAGUACAGUUCGGCUGUAGUGAAAUCAGGUAAACUCUAUGCGGUGAAACGUCAUGUAAACCGGUGUUUGAGGGCUGCACGCCCGAGCCGAAGGGUAGGCGGUUAGAGCUUUUGGGUAACCGAAAGUCUAGAUAAAUGAUAAGGAACUCAGCAAUGAGGAACAGAAUCCGGCUUAUGACCUGCUUUUUUU
rnacentral:RNase_P_RNA from 1 species